AGAGAAUAGAUACCCGGUAGUCCACGCCGUAAACUAUGGAUGCUAGCUGUUGGCCGUAUCGACCCGGUCAGUAGCGAAAGCUAACGCGUUAAGCAUCCCGCCUGUGGAGUACGGUCGCAAGACUAAAACAUAAAGGAAUUGACGGGGACCCGCACAAGCGGUGGAGCGUGUUGUUUAAUUCGAUGCUAAGCGAAGAACCGUUACCCAGGUUUGACAUCUUCGGAAUUACUACGAAAGUAGUGAGUGCCUUCGGGAACCGAAUGACAGGUGAUGCAUGGCCGUCGUCAGCUCGUGUCGUGAGAUGUUUGGUUGAGUCCAUCAACGAGCGCAACCCUUACUGAAUAGUUGUAUUUUCUUAUUCUA
rnacentral:rRNA from 1 species